UUUUCAAAAAAAUUGACCGUAUGGCUCAGUGGGAUUCUCGGCGUCUACCAAUCUCACGGCCCGGGUUCGA
ensembl:ncRNA C49A1.14 ncRNA